CAUCGGUGAAAUUUUCAUUAUGAAUAGAAGGUUGCAGUUGAAGAGAAAGGUGUACAAUUAUAGAGAGGAAUCUAUCAAUUAGAGGGUUAUUUUGGGCACUCUUUAGGACGUGAUUUUAGGACUUAAUAUGAAAUUUUCCAUUCAUUAGAGCUUUUUGUGAGCAAAAAUACAACAAUAUUUGGGGAUUUUGAAAAUUGCAGAAGUGAAGAAAUUCAAGCUUCUCUUCCUGUCUUCUUUGAACCAGGUGAUGUACUUAACUUCUUGCUUAUAUUUAUUAACAUGAAUUCCUGCUAAUUUCGUAGCUAGGACAAAUGAUUUACCUUUGAGUUAAACCUUUGAUUUUAUUGUUAGAGACUUUAUUUAUUAAUGUGUACCAUUUUUAUUGUUGAGGUUGAUUCAAUUAAUUCUCAUGUUAAUAAUUGUUAAUUGAUUUGUAAACUUUAACGAGACGAGAGUUGAAUUAUUUAUUUAUACCAAGUAUUAAAAUUUUUUUAUUCACCUAAGUGAUGGAGAUACACUUUGAGAAUUAUUGCAAACACAUGAACUAUUUUGUGGACUAAAUCAUUUUAUUAGGUUAGAUCCAAAUAGAGAUACAAUGACUUUACUUCAUUAAAUAAAAUUGAAUUUACUCUAGAAAAGUUUUAAGUUAUUUUUAAAAAGUUUGAUUAAGUGAACAAUGUGAAUAUUUCAAAAUCAAGGAUGAUUGCUAAGGUGAAAUCAUGAUUCAUGACAUUUGUUGAAUCAUUGGAUCUCAAAAAUCAUCAUGCCAACUAAUUAACCAAUUAUAGUUUAAUUUUAGCAUAAAAAGUAGAGUAGAUAACAACAAUUCCCUCUACUUUUUUCGUUUUGAACUGAAUAAAUUGUGCAAUUGAAUCAGGUCAAUAGUAAGUUAUUACGGUCUUUGGAAUGAUAAUAUGAACUCUUUAAAUCAAAUUGACUACUAAUUUGAAAACAUCUUACAUUUGCAAAUUUUUACCCAACAAAAAAUUAGAGCCUGUUUGGAUCCCCUAUUUGGCUAAGAAUGUAUUUUGAAAUAAUAGAUUGAUGGAGAAGGUGUCGUUAAAAAAUAAGAAAGAUUUUUAAAUUUAUGUGUAAUACUAUUUUAUUAAAAUAUGGGAGGUUGAAAAGAAGAGAGAAAAUGUAUUUUGAAGAUAAUGGAGAUCAAACAAGUGCGGAAGAUACAUCUUCAAUUAAAUCACUAGAUUUGGCAAAUCUUGCUGAUAUUGAUUGCUUAAAGAAAAAGGAAAAUAAACAAUAUACUUUUGUUUAAUCUGAUCCUGUUCCAAAUGGAAAGAAAAAGUUCAUUAUAAAAAGGUGUAUUUAUAUAAAAUUAUGGAAUGACCAAUAACAAUACAAUCAAACAUGAUAAAACCCAAUAACCGUGAGUCACAUUUUUGUAUAGUUCACGAUCAUUUUUUCCCCUUUUCAAUCAUGCUAUCAUCUUCCUAUAAAUGGUAACUCGGUGCCAAUGCAUAUCACCUGAGAGUAUCCAAUUCAAGAAAAAUGCCAUUGCCUAAUGGAGAAGUACAAUUUAGUGAGCUUCUUCGUGCUCAAUCUCACGUUUGGAACCAUAUUUUCAGUUUCAUAAAUUCCAUCUCUCUCAAAUCUGCAAUCCAAUUAGGCAUACCGGAUAUUAUCCUUAAACAUGGCAAACCAAUGACACUAACCGAAUUAGUCGAUAUCCUCCGUAUAAAUAAAGCAAAAGCACAUGGUGUGUACCGUCUAAUGCGAAUUCUAAUCCAUUCGGGGUUCUUCAUCGAAGAAAAAAUUUCUCAGAACGAAGAAAAGAAGGGAUAUUGGCUAACACCAGCUUCUCGUCUCCUUCUAAAAGAGGAGCCAUUUAGCUUGGCCCCACUUCUUCUAGUUGUGCUUGAUCCGAUUUUGACAGAGCCAUGGCACUACGUAGCUGAAUGGUUAAAAGAUGACCAUCCCACGCCAUUUAGUACGCUACACGGGAGGAGCUUCUGGGCCUAUGCUGGCCAGGAUCCGAAACUGAACCACUUAUUCAACAAUGCCAUGGCUAAUGAUUCACGGUUGAUUACAAGUGUGGUUAUUAGAGAUUGUAAACAUGUAUUUGAGGGUCUGAAUUCCAUGGUAGACGUAGCAGGUGGGACCGGGACGAUGGCCAAGGCCAUUGCUGAAACGUUUCCAAACUUGAAAUGCACUGUGCUUGAUCUUCCACAUGUUAUUGCUGGCUUGAAAGGGACUAAGAACUUAUGCUACGUUGGAGGAGACAUGUUUGAGACUAUGUG
rnacentral:lncRNA from 1 species